rnacentral:rRNA from 1 species
GACGAACGCUGGCGGCGUGCCUACUACAUGCAAGUCGAACGCAGUGGGGACGGGUGAGUAACACGUGGGUAACCUCCCAUCAGAGGGGAUAACACUUGGAAACAGGUGCUAAACCGAUACUGAUGGAUGGACCCGCGGUGCAUUAGCUAGUUGUUUAGGUAACGGCUCACCAAGGCCACGAUGCAUAGCCGACCGUGGAGGGUGAGCGGCCACACUGGGACUGAGACACGGCCCAGACGCCUACGGGAGGCAGCAGGAGGGAAUCUGCGGCAAUGGACGAAAGUCUUACCGAGCAACGCGGCGUGAGUGAAGAAGGUUUUCGGAUCGUAAAACUCUGUUGUUAGAGAAGCGGUAUCUAACCAGAAAGCCACGGCUAACUACGUGCCAGCCGCCGCGGUAAUUC